UAAGUCACACAGAUGUGGAAAAUGAUCAUACUUGUUUUUUUUGUUUUUUUGUCAGGUGAACCAGUGUACUGCAUGCCAGGCCGGCAGAGUCGUCAUUAAGCAGGAGGUGGAGUACACACUAAUAAAAGUUUCAAAACCAUUUGAGCUUAUUGGGAUGGAUCUGAUAGGCAAGUUAAAAACAACAAAGACAGGGAAUCAGUAUAUUUGCAUCAUGGUUGAUUACCUGACAAAGCGCCCCCAGGCAUAUCCCAUAAAAAACAAGACUGCUGAGGAAGUCAGUCAGUGCAUCCUCAAGUUUUUUUAUCAGUUUGAAGCUCCCAAGAGGAUCUUGACUGACCAAGGCUGGGAGUUUGUUAAUGAGAUCAACAAAAAAGUAUGCAAUAUACUGGGGAUACAAAGAAGCCUUUGCUCUCCCUACCAUCCCCAGACCAAUGGACUGGUGAAGAGGAUCAAUGGGACCAU